UCAAGUUAAAAAGAGCAUAAGGCGGAUGCCUUGGCACUAGGAGCCGAUGAAGGACGUGACAAGCUGCGAUAAGCUGCGGUAAGGAGCAAAUAUCCGUUAUGAACCGCAGAUUUCCGAAUGGGGGAACCCACCUGUAGUAAUGUGCAGGUACAGCUGUGUGAAUAAAAUAGCGCAGUAUGAGGAAACGGGGUGAACUGAAACAUCUAAGUAGCCCCAGGAGAAGAAAGAAACAUCGAUUUCCCAAGUAGCGGCGAGCGAACGGGAAGGAGGCCAAACCGAUAACUUGUUAUCGGGGUUGCGGAUCAUCAGAAAUGAUUCUAAAAGGAUAGUCGAACGGUUUUGGAACAGCCGAGCGAAGAGGGUGAAACUCCCGUAGACGAAAUCCGGAUAGACAUAGAUGACACCAGAGUAGUACCGGACACGUGAAACCCGGUAUGAAGCCGGAGGGCCCACCCUCCAAGCCUAAAUACUACCUAGUGACCGAUAGAGAACAGUACCGUGAGGGAAAGGUGAAAAGGACCCCGGGAGGGGAGUGAAAUAGAACCUGAAACCUUAUGCUUACAAGCAAUGGGAGCGCAAGUGACCAUGUACUUUUUGUAGAACGGGCCAACGAGUUAUGGUAUGUAGCGAGGUUAAGAUGCUGGAGCAUCGGAGCCGAAGCGAAAGCGAGUCUUAAUAGGGCGAUUAGUUAUAUGCUGUAGACCCGAAACCGGGUGACCUAUCCAUGUGCAGGUUGAAGCGAGAGUAAAAUCUCGUGGAGGACCGAACCCAUAUACGUUGAAAAGUGUUGGGAUGACGUGUGGAUAGCGGUGAAAUUCCAAUCGAACUCGGAUAUAGCUGGUUCUCCUCGAAAUAGCUUUAGGGCUAGCCUCAUAGUAAGAUACGCAGGGGUAGAGCACUGAAUGUUCUAGGGGCCUUCACCGGUUACCGAAAACUAUCAAACUCCGAAUACUGCGCAAUCAUCUAUGGGAGUCAGACUAUGAGAGAUAAGUUCCAUGGUCGAAAGGGAAACAGCCCAGACCUACAGCUAAGGUCCCAAAAUGUAAGUUAAGUGGAAAAGGAUGUGGAGCUGCAUAAACAGCUAGGAUGUUGGCUUAGAAGCAGCCAUUCAUUUAAAGAGUGCGUAACAGCUCACUAGUCGAGUGGCUCUGCGCCGAAGAUAAACGGGGCUAAAACUUACUACCGAAGCUUAGGAUACCUUUUGGUAUGGUAGAGGAGCAUCGUAUAAGAGACGAAGGUGAACUGUAAGGUAAGCUGGAUUUUAUACGAGAGAGAAUGUUGGCAUGAGUAGCGAGAGGCAGGUGAGAAUCCUGCCCACCGAAAAUCUAAGGUUUCCUGAGGAAGGUUCGUCCACUCAGGGUUAGUCGGGACCUAAGCCGAGGACGAGAGUCGUAGGCGAUGGACAACUGGUUGAGAUUCCAGUACCACCGAAAGUCGUUUGAGUGAAGUGGGGACACAGAAGGAUAGACAGAGCACGCCGUUGGUAGAGCGUGUCCAAGCAGUGAGGCUUGUGCGUAGGCAAAUCCGCGCACUAAAAGGCUAGGCUGUGAUGGGGAGGGAAAAAAGUACCGGAAGCUGUUGAUUUCACACUGUCAAGAAAAGCCGCUAGCGAGACCGUAGGUGCCCGUACCGCAAACCGACACAGGUAGAUGAGGAGAGAAUCCUAAGGUGAGCGAGAGAACUAUUGUUAAGGAACUCGGCAAAAUUACCCCGUAACUUCGGGAGAAGGGGUGCCAUCGAAAGAUGGCCGCAGUGAAAAGGCCCAGGCGACUGUUUAGCAAAAACACAGGUCUCUGCUAAAGCGAAAGCUGAAGUAUAGGGGCUGACGCCUGCCCGGUGCUGGAAGGUUAAGGGGACUGCUUAGAGCAAUCGAAGGCAUGAACUUAAGCCCCAGUAAACGGCGGCCGUAACUAUAACGGUCCUAAGGUAGCGAAAUUCCUUGUCAGGUAAGUUCUGACCCGCACGAAAGGCGUAACGAUCUGGGCGCUGUCUCAACAAUCGACUCGGUGAAAUUGUAGUACCGGUAAAGAUGCCGGUUACCCGCAGCAGGACGGAAAGACCCCGUGGAGCUUUACUGCAGCUUGAUAUUGGAUUUCGGCAUUGCAUGUACAGGAUAGGUGGGAGACUGCGAACUCAGUACGCCAGUAUUGAGGGAGUCACCGUUGGGAUACCACCCUUGUAAUGUUGAGGUUCUAACUUUGUACCGUGACCCGGUAUGAGGACAGUGUCUGG
rnacentral:rRNA from 1 species